UGGGGAGUAUUGCACAAUGGGGGAAACCCUGAUGCAGCGACGCCGCGUGAACGAAGAAGGUAUUCGUAUCGUAAAGUUCUGUCCUAUGGGAAGAUAAUGACAGUACCAUAGAAGAAAGCUCCGGCUAAAUACGUGCCAGCAGCCGCGGUAAUACGUAUGGAGCGAGCGUUGUCCGGAAUUAUUGGGCGUAAAGGGUACGCAGGCGGUUUAAUAAGUCGAAUGUUAAAGAUCGGGGCUCAACCCCGUAAAGCAUUGGAAACUGAUAAACUUGAGUAGUGGAGAGGAAAGUGGAAUUCCUAGUGUAGUGGUGAAAUACGUAGAUAUUAGGAGGAAUACCAGUAGCGAAGGCGACUUUCUGGACACAAACUGACGCUGAGGUACGAAAGCGUGGGGAGCAAACAGG
rnacentral:rRNA from 1 species